rfam:Stegodyphus mimosarum contig22300, whole genome shotgun sequence.
GCCUUCGUGGUGUAAUGGUCGGCACGCUCCACACAAAACCGAGAGGUCCGUGGUUCGAUCCCCGGCGAAGGCG